UUCGUCGUUAGUAGGGCUGGUAGGAGGAAAACUGCAGUUCACUUAUAUUUUUGUCUGAAUUAUCAAACAGACUGUUCCCAGAAUCAAUUAACAAGAAUCACAGAAAGCGGACUUCAGAAAGAUAUAGCGCAGUAGCAAGGAAAGGAAACGACAACGCAAAUGAAAAGAGAACAAAAAAUGUAAUUUACUAAAAUCACUAAUAGUCUAUUUAUAAAACACUAACGUACGAAAACUGCAGUGUACAAGGGAUGCAGGCAACAGAGAUAAACUUAAGAAAUGGAUUCAGCAAAAAAAGUGAAGAAACAGGAAAAUACUGUAGCUGUGUUAGGAAAUGGAAAUCGUGUGCAGGAUAGUCAAACAUCGACUGAAAAGUGUAAUCGGAAAAUUCAGUAUUAAUGAAUUACUGAAACAGCGAAGCAUCCUUCGGUUAUGGUUGCUAUUAUGAAUAGGAAACAACGAAUAAAGUGUACGUAAUCAGUGUUGUAACUGUAGCUGCACAGAAUGAAAAUUAUUGUUGGGGGAAAUGUGAUUUAACAUUAACAAACAGGACUAAUACCUCGAAGUUAACGAGGAAGGAGAGAUCCACGAGGAGAGAAAGGGAAGAAAUAUCAGCAGUUUCGAUGUACAGUUUCAUAGAAUACACGAAGGACGAGAAGUGCUGAAAAUAUAUUAAAGCGAAAGAGCUAACAUUUACUGUAUUUGGUAUUACGGAAACAAGACUUCUGUUUAUUAGUUGUUUGCAGCGGAAUGCUAUGUGACGUCCAUAAGAAGAAUGCAGAAAGUGUUGAAGCAGUCCUAUUGUAUCAUUGCAAAAAGAUGAAAGGAAGAAGGAUACUGGAGAAAUAAGAGUGAGGAAAUUUAAACCCGUGUAUCAUCAAAUGCUUGUACGAAAGGAAAGAAAAACUAGACGAAAUUUCUGACAGCGCAGAAGUAAUUAAACUAGGAAUAGAAAUAUCCACAGAAAAUAAUAUUGCAAGGAAUAAAAGAAAAAACAAUAUUUACAGAGGUGAAGACGUUGACUAAAGUUGGAGCAAUGAGAAUUAAUAACAACUGAGUCAGUAAAUUGAUACCUUACGCAAUAUGUAUUGUUGUUGACACUAUAAGUUCGGUAACUACAAGAUAAGACCAUCACCAACUUACAGCAGAAUCUUUGUGACAGCUGCAGGAAGUUAGGGAGAGAAGAAGCCUGGGCAAGGCACGAAACCAUCAGCGAAGGUACGAUGUAUCUUGAUAAUAAAUUGCGCCACUGAUUCUACCAACCUUCGCUGUGAAGUAUUAGCGAUGCACAAUGUACUGAGUAAAUAUGGUGAACAUAUAAACAGUUCGUUUGCGUGUAAGUGGUGACUGAAGAGUUGCCAUGAAAAAGGGAAUAAAACUGAGGGCACGAACAAGAUUUCUAUCAAUUCCACAGUUAAGGAGUUAAGGAUACCUUUAAGUGGCGACGCUAUUGUACUUGAAAAUUUAUUGAAUUCAGUAGUCACAUACUUGAGGAACAGAUAGUGAGCCCAUGAAGGAUUCGUCGUCAUGUAUGUUUUCUGUGCGUCUGGCUGAAGAAUUCGUCCUGCCUCUUUAAACGUUCCAGUGAAAAAGGAAUGUAUCCAGAGAAUACGAAUGAUUUACUGUGCAUUCAACGAGAUGGUGGUAGUCCGUGUACAAACUUCAGGUCAGCUUUCAAACUACACUCCGAUACCAUUUCUUCAGAUAUUGCAUAGCAAAUGCCAAUGACAGACGUGCUAAAAAGAAUGGGAACAUUCGUAAGCAGUUAUAUUAGGUUAUUGAAAAUUGAAAUUAAGAUCUGCUUUGGUAAAAGUAAUUAGUAACAGCGACUGAACUCGAGUAGAAAAAAAAUCACACGUUGUUAAACAGUUAAUGGAAUUAUGUUGUUUUCACUACUUUCAACACGAAUACCUAAUUUUCAGGACUCAAAUGUGUUCAUUUCUAAAGGAGUGGUUGAAUAUCAUCCAUUAUUUUAGACUUUGUAAUAUUCAGAAAAGUUUUUUUAUUUUAUUAUUUUUACGCUGUGAUUUCUGACAGUGCGGUGCUAAAUGACAAGUACUAAGAUAAUAAAUAUCUAUGGGAUGAGGUAUUGUAUACUUUAUAUAUAAUCUGAGAAUAAUAUUAAGUAAAAACGAGAUAACUGACAAAGUAAUGUUAAAUAAAAUAAGAGAUCACUGUGGCGUUUCGAGAGGAGGUAAGUGGAUUGCAGUCUACCAAUCACCGAUCCAUCCACAAAAGAUUUGUAGGUAAAAGUGUGAUGUAAUGAGUUUAUACGGUGUAUAUGUUGUUUUGUGUAUAUAAACUUAGAUGAGAGCUGUUAUACUAAAAGAAAGUAUAUGAACCGUUGACGCAACAUGACAAUGACGCUUACUGUAAGUAGUCGAAAAUGCAAGCACAGAGUUCAACCAAUAGUCCAGAAGACUUACGCUUAUAAUACGCAGUCAAGCUACCGAAAUUGAAAUAGCUGUAGAUCAAAGUUGUGCUUUUGUGGUGCUGCGCAGAUAUUAGACAGUUAAUAUAAAAAUGCAUGACGAGAAUUAUUCCAGUUAUGAAAAAGGAAAAGUAUCAUUCAAUUCCAGAUGCUGGUAAAAGGUGACAAGGCAUUCUGAUGAAAACGUUACAGCCACUUACGUGAACAAGAGUGGAAGAAGACGACUCGGAAUUGCUAAAAAUCAGACAGAAUACCUCGAAAACUACAUGAAAAGUUGGUCUCUUGUGGAGGAUUUACUCAAAGUUUAUAUUGAAUGUUUUAUUAUAGUAACGAUAUUGCAGUUCUUUUCCAUAAUUAGUGAGUAUAUCUGACAAAUCAUUUUUCUGUUAAUAAUUUUUAUCAAUAACAUUAUGAAUGUAGUAGAUCUUUUGUAGUUUCUCAACAAGCUCCAGUAUACUACAUUGGUGCUGCAAUGAAGAGAAUAAUAAUAAAGGAACAAAAAAUUUAAGUUAAAGUUUGAAGAAUAUUACGUCUGCUAAGGACAGUAUUCUUUUGAUGCAAUGCGUUUGAAAUUUAAAUGCUGAAACUGAAGUGAUCGUUGAAGUUCGGCUAGAAAUAAUAGUGAGGUUUUUUGUGAAACAUUCGUAUACAGUAAAACUACAGAAUAUAAAGAAACAGCAUCAUUGUAUUCUGGAUAUAGACACUUUUUAGUUUUUUAUUACAAGUAAAAAUGCAUUCAGAAAGAUUAAGUCUUUUUGUAUUUGCUGUUGGAUCCUGCACUGAAAGUCUAAACUUCAGUGAUACCAUCAAUUCUCCCACAACGUUUGCCAGUUCGGUGGAUAUGAAGUUGUAGUUCAUGAAUGCAAUUAUUUAUCAACACGAUUUACAAGGACAUGCUUUAGAGGAAAAUUUGAACUUAGUUGUUGUCAUGAACUGAAUUCAUAGCUGACUGUAAAAAAGAAUUUUAAAAAAGUGUAAUGAAUUCUUUUGGCACUGUUCAGUACAAUGAUACAGAUCAAAAAUAAACAAGGUGGAAGAAAUUACAAUGAGUGGAUGAUGUUACAAUGUAAUAACAUGUUCUGUUAAUGCAAGGAUCUGCAUGUCACUUCAGUGCUCACGGUUCCGUAUGUACAGCGUCGUAAGGAACAGGAGAUGUUAGAGUGAAGAGUGAGCAAGUAUCAACAGUAUCAAAGAGCAUGAAAUCAAAACUUGUUGCUGUACGUAGUGAAACACCAAUACGGCUGUUGCAUGAGUAUUCGCCUUUCAAAGCUCUUCGAAUGUGGAAGAUGAAGCUUACAUGUCCUCUCAUCUUGACGCAGUGAUGUUUCUCAACACGCCGCCUGGCCGUAAGCAUCGAGUGCGCAGGAGGAGCUGCGCUCGAUGGCGAUCCGCGAGGCGGCGCGCAUGUACCUGCACCACCCGUCGUCGUACUACCUGUCGGCGGGCCCGUACCUGCCGCACACGGCCAUGUACCCGGCGCACACGCCGCCCGCCGUCUUCCCGCCGCCGCUGCACAUGGGGCCGCCGCUGCCCUUCGCCGUACCGCCGUCGCCCGAGUCUCCGCCGCAGUCGCGACCGCCCACCAUGUAGCCAGCCGGCGCAGCACAGUUGUUGUCGACCGAAUGUUGCCAGCCAGUGAGUGCUCUGGAGCCGACGACUUGCUGAGUGAUCACCACCAUCGAGGCGUCGCGAGGUCUUGGGGACAGCCCAGGCGUCUGGUCCGCCUGCCCUCUGUCGGUCGUGUGGGGCGACAUAUCCUGGAAGAAGAUGGAGAGUGGAUAUUGGUAGUGAGCAUUAUGAACUUGCUAUUUUCGUGAUCAUUCAAAUUUUAAUAUGUAAUAUGUUACCCAGAAGGAAAAGUGAAAACAUGGUUGUGUAAGGAGUAAGAGACUAAAGAUAAAAAAUAUAACCGAACUGUACCAGACUAGUGGUAAGAUGUAGUAAGGUGCUGUGCAGUUUCCACCAUGUUAAGGGCGCCACAAAUGACUUUUUUGAUGUAGCAGUAAUAAGUAAAUAUUGUGCUGUGUAUGAAGUAAAGUGCUAAUAAUCCAAAGAUCUCAUAAUGAUGGUAGAAAUUAGGUCUCCAGAUCUACAAAUUUGGCGCAGCUGUGUCGAUGUGAAUGCAACCAACGUGUGACUUCUGCUGUCAUGUCUGAAAUGAAAACAAAAUGCUUCUAAUCUCUGGGAUGCGCACUACAUUCAGUUUCUUCAGCAUAUUCAGUGGAAAAAUAUCCUUAAUAGACACUUUCAACGUCAUCUUGGAGUUCAUGGAAGGAGCAGUACAUGCUGUAAUUUCAGUGCACACACACACACACACACACACACACACACACACACAUACCCACAGAGGAAAAAGUUAAAUGUGUUUGUAUAGCCACCUUGUAAACUUCCUAUAGAGUCAGGCAUUUUUAUGCAGUCUUAAAACAAUAUGAUAUUGUGAAAUAGUUUGGAAUAAAUGUUUAUUGGAGAGCCUGAACUAUGCCUGUUUAUUUUUCCCAUAAAAAGAAAAUUUUGUCAUAUUAAAUAAUGACAUUUUUAAAAUUUGGAACAGGAUAAAAAUAUGGAACAUCAUUCUUAUUUCUAACUUGUUAUGGUGGUAAUAGUUCCAACUGGAAAUUCAAUCGAAAAAUAAGUGUCAAUCACUUUUUAGUUUGGACACAUUAUUGUUCAUAUCUAUUUGCCACUCUGUAUGUUAAUAUGUGAUUGUUUACUUUGGAGAAACUAUGAUGUGAACUCAUGUAUAUAAUUUAUUGUUGUCACCUGCUAUUAUUAUUCUAGAUUGUUGAGAGUAUUUCUAUUGUUACUACAGCUGUCCUAUAUACAUUAAUAUGGCUAUACUGUCAUUGUUAUUAACUGAGAACAGAAACUGGUGCUGUAAAUGGACCUAUGAAACAAUUAUAUUGUCUCAUCUGUUUAGGAGCUUUAUGUUUGACAUCUCAAAACACUGCAAAGACUUGAUACAGUAAACCAAGAGAGAGACUACAUAGAGGGCAGGUGCCAAUGUGUUUUACUUGUUCCACAAUCAGAAAUUAAUAAAUAACUUUUUAUUAAUUUUUAUAGCCAGCCAGCCUGCAGUUGUAAAUUAUUUAGUACUGAACAGCCCCUAUAAAGCAAAUAAAGUAAUUUUAGUCAUCUGCAAGAGCAGAAAAAGAUAAUGAACCUCUCUGCAAAGGGGUAUUCAUCACAUGUGUUGGAUUAAUACUAAGAUUUAAAGACACAUUUCGAAAUAUUCUUUUCUGUACUCAAAAUUCUUCCAUGAUUUACUUAGCAAAUUGGUAAUGACUGCCCAUUGAGUUUCCUUUCGAUGUUCACCUGUGAGAAAGUAAAACAAAAAUAAUUGUGUUUUGUAGUAUACUUCAUCAAAAUUCCUCCACAUAUGUACACUAAUUUAAAUAUGACUUACUCCAAGUUGAUAUACAUUUACUGUUUUUCAAUAUAUAGAUCAUCUACAUCAAUAUAAAACUGUAUGAGCAUGUAAAACAGUUUUACUAUCAACUACAUAAAGAAGUACGUUUACUUGAUGUUAGAUGUAAUGAUGUUAAAUUAGGUGUAGAAAACACAUAGUUUUGAUGACAUAUAAUGAAUUCAUAAAUAUAUUUCCCACAAAUUCAAUAUGAAUAGAUCGUAUUUGGCCAUAUUUAGCAGUCACUUUAUAUACUGGUGUAUACAACACUCUUUAAUAUGAAAUUUCUAUUGAUGUCAAUGUUUAAAGAAGAAAUUUAGCUUCAGUGUUUUAUAAUAAAAUUAUAUUCUAUAUAUAAUUAUGUAAUUAGUAUUAUAUCGCCGAAAAUCUUCUAUUUUAGUAACAACACAGUUACUAAUAAACUUCUGUGUGUGUAUAAUAUUUCCCUAAAUUAUUCACACAGGCUUUGAAUGGCACAUUUAAUGGAAGAAGAUGGUUAUCUAUCUGAAUCAAAUAUAAAUUAAUAAUUGAAUCUUCAGAGAUAUGUAUAUAAGCAAUUAUGUUUUCUAGAUGUUUUAAUUGAGGGAAAAUAAAAUGUGAAUGCUUUUAUGAAAAAUGUAAUGAGAGGCUAUAACCAUAAUAGCUAUUAUGAUCAAAUCAAAGAAGUUUCUAAAGCAUUGAGUACCAUUCUCUUUCUGUUCACAAGACUUCAAUUCUUCUAUUGCGUCCAUUUGCUGUAAAGAUAUUAUCAGAAUAUUUUUUAUAAUGUACACAGCAUGCCAAUCAUGGUCCUUAUACUUUUUUAAAAGAAUUGAUUUUUGUACUGUUGUACUUUAGAAAGGCAAACUUUUGAAAAAUAUUAUAGUUUCUUGAAGCCAAUAGCUAUAAGAAUUUAAAAGUAUUCACAAAGUAAUGAUGAAGACGACCUUCCAUUAAAAACAAAAAUUGUCAAUGACACAUCAGAACACCCAUCCGAAUUAAUUAUUAUAAUGUACUUAUUAAUGUUAUAUGUCAAUGGUAUAUGUGGUAGUGUGAAAUAUUAAUAUGUACACUGAUGCAGUGUGUAAAAGGCUAAGUUGUAUGUAAAUGCUUCAAAUUUGUGCAUGUAGUAUUACAUACCUAAUUCAAAAUACAUAGUGUUGUUGUCUGAUUCAAAAUCAACUUUAUGUUGAAAAGUCUUAGUUGGGAAUGAAUGUUUGUUUUAACACAGAUUGCUUGGAGGACUUGUGAUAUCCUAUUCCCUCCUAUUUAUGUGCUAUGACCUCCUACAUAUUUUGUAACUGCUAUUACAAUUGUAAUAUUAAUGAAACUAGUAGCUAUUAAUUAAAAUAUUUUCAAAUAUAUUA